rnacentral:rRNA from 1 species
CUUGUUGGUGAGGUAACGGCUCACCAAGGCGACGACGGGUAGCCGGCCUGAGAGGGUGACCGGCCACACUGGGACUGAGACACGGCCCAGACUCCUACGGGAGGCAGCAGUGGGGAAUAUUGCACAAUGGGCGCAAGCCUGAUGCAGCAACGCCGCGUGAGGGACGACGGCCUUCGGGUUGUAAACCUCUUUUAGUAGGGAAGAAGCGAAAGUGACGGUACCUGCAGAAAAAGCACCGGCUAACUACGUGCCAGCAGCCGCGGUAAUACGUAGGGUGCAAGCGUUGUCCGGAAUUAUUGGGCGUAAAGAGCUCGUAGGCGGUCUGUCGCGUCUGCUGUGAAAACCCGAGGCUCAACCUCGGGCCUGCAGUGGGUACGGGCAGACUAGAGUGCGGUAGGGGAGAUUGGAAUUCCUGGUGUAGCGGUGGAAUGCGCAGAUAUCAGGAGGAACACCGAUGGCGAAGGCAGAUCUCUGGGCCGUAACUGACGCUGAGGAGCGAAAGCGUGGGGAGCGAACAGGAUUAGAUACCCUGGUAGUCCACGCCGUAAACGUUGGGCGCUAGAUGUGGGGACCAUUCCACGGUUUCCGUGUCGCAGCUAACGCAUUAAGCGCCCCGCCUGGGGAGUACGGAAUCUCUAGAGGAUCCC